rnacentral:rRNA from 1 species
UACGGAGGGUGCAAGCGUUAUUCGGAAUUACUGGGCGUAAAGCGUGCGCAGGCGGUUUGGUAAGUCCGUUGUGAAAGCCCCGAGCUCAACUUGGGAAUUGCAGUGGAUACUGGCAGGCUGGAGUACGGUAGAGGAAGGUGGAAUUCCCGGUGUAGCAGUGAAAUGCGUAGAUAUCAGGAGGAAUACCGAUGGCGAAGGCAGCCCCCUGGGUCGAUACUGACGCUCAUGCACGAAAGCGUGGGGAGCAAACAGG